rnacentral:rRNA from 1 species
UGGCUCAGGACGAACGCUGGCGGCGUGCCUAAUACAUGCAAGUCGAACGAGAGCGACCGGUGCUUGCACUGGUCAAUCUAGUGGCGAACGGGUGAGUAACACGUGGGUAACCUGCCCAUCAGAGGGGGAUAACAUCCGGAAACGGAUGCUAAAAUCGCAUAGGUCUUUGAGCCGCAUGGCUUGAAGAGGAAAAGAGGCGCAAGCUUCUGCUGAUGGAUGGACCCGCGGUGCAUUAGCUAGUUGGUGAGGUAACGGCUCACCAAGGCCGUGAUGCAUAGCCGACCUGAGAGGGUGAUCGGCCACAUUGGGACUGAGACACGGCCCAAACUCCUACGGGAGGCAGCAGUAGGGAAUCUUCCGCAAUGGACGCAAGUCUGACGGAGCAACGCCGCGUGAGUGAAGAAGGUUUUCGGAUCGUAAAACUCUGUUGUUAGAGAAGAACAAGUGCUAGAGUAACUGUUAGCGCCUUGACGGUAUCUAACCAGAAAGCCACGGCUAACUACGUGCCAGCAGCCGCGGUAAUACGUAGGUGGCAAGCGUUGUCCGGAUUUAUUGGGCGUAAAGCGAGCGCAGGCGGUUCCUUAAGUCUGAUGUGAAAGCCCCGGGCUCAACCCGGGGGAGGGUCAUUGGAACUGGGAACUUUGAGUGCAGAAGAGGAGAGUGGAAUUCCAUGUGUAGCGUGAAUGCGUAGAUAUAUGGAGAACACGUUGGCGAAGCGCUCUCUGGCUGUACUGACGCUGAGCUCGAAGCGUGGGGAGCAAUAGGAUUAGGAACCUU